rnacentral:tRNA from 1 species
GAGGGUAUAGCUCAGUGGUCGAGUGCAUACUUAGCAUGCAUGAAGUUCUGGGUUGAAUCCUCUGUACCUUCC